GGAGCUUGCUCCGCUGACGAGUGGCGAACGGGUGAGUAAUGUAUCGGAACGUACCAUUCAGUGGGGGAUAACGUAGCGAAAGUUACGCUAAUACCGCAUAUUCUGUGAGCAGGAAAGCAGGGGAUCGCAAGACCUUGCGCUGAUUGAGCGGCCGAUAUCAGAUUAGCUAGUUGGUGAGGUAAAGGCUCACCAAGGCGACGAUCUGUAGCGGGUCUGAGAGGAUGAUCCGCCGCACUGGAACUGAGACACGGUCAGACUCCUACGGGAGGCAGCAGUGGGGAAUUUUGGACAAUGGGGGCAACCCUGAUCCAGCCAUGCCGCGUGAGUGAAGAAGGCCUUCGGGUUGUAAAGCCCUUUCGGCCGGGAAAAAAUCGCAUAGGUUAAUACCCUGUGUGGAUGAUGGUACCGGAAUAAGAAGCACCGGCUAACUACGUGCCAGCAGCCGCGGUAAUACGUAGGGUGCGAGCGUUAAUCGGAAUUACUGGGCGUAAAGCGUGCGCAGGCGGUUUGAUAAGACAGGCGUGAAAUCCCCGGGCUCAACCUGGGAACUGCGUUUGUGACUGUCUCACUAGAGUACGGCAGAGGGGGGUGGAAUUCCACGUGUAGCAGUGAAAUGCGUAGAGAUGUGGAGGAACACCAAUGGCGAAGGCAGCCCCCUGGGUCGAUACUGACGCUCAUGCACGAAAGCGUGGGUAGCAAACAGGAUUAGAUACCCUGGUAGUCCACGCCCUAAACGAUGUCAACUAGGUGUUGGGAGGGUAAAACCUUUUAGUACCGUAGCUAACGCGAGAAGUUGACCGCCUGGGGAGUACGGCCGCAAGGUUAAAACUCAAAGGAAUUGACGGGGACCCGCACAAGCGGUGGAUGAUGUGGAUUAAUUCGAUGCAACGCGAAAAACCUUACCUACCCUUGACAUGUUCAGGAGUCCGAAGAGAUUUGGAUGUGCUCGGAAGAGAACUGGAACACAGGUGCUGCAUGGCUGUCGUCAGCUCGUGUCGUGAGAUGUUGGGUUAAGUCCCGCAACGAGCGCAACCCUUGUCGUUAAUUGCCAUCAUUUAGUUGGGCACUUUAACGAGACUGCCGGUGACAAACCGGAGGAAGGUGGGGAUGACGCCAAGUCCUCAUGGCCCUUAUGGGUAGGGCUUCACACGUCAUACAAUGGUCGGUACAAAGGGUUGCCAACCCGCGAGGGGGAGCUAAUCCCAUAAAGCCGAUCGUAGUCCGGAUCGCAGGCUGCAACUCGCCUGCGUGAAGUCGGAAUCGCUAGUAAUCGUGGAUCAGCAUGUCACGGUGAAUACGUUCCCGGGUCUUGUACACACCGCCCGUCACACCAUGGGAGCGGGUUCCGCCAGAAGUAGGUAGCCUAACCGCAAGGAGGGCGCUUACCACGGCGGGGUUCGUGACUGGGGUGAAGUCGGAACAAGGUA
rnacentral:rRNA from 1 species